rnacentral:rRNA from 1 species
UACGAAGGACCCGAGCGUUAUCCGGAUUUAUUGGGUUUAAAGGGUGCGUAGGCGGGCAUGCAAGUCAGUGGUGAAAUCUCUCUGCUCAACAGAGAAACUGCCAUUGAAACUAUGUGUCUUGAGUACAUUUGAGGCGGGCGGAAUGUGUCAUGUAGAGGUGAAAUUCUUAGAUAUGACACAGAACACCAAUUGCGAAGGCAGCUCGCUAAACUGUAACUGACGCUGAGGCACGAAAGCGUGGGGAUCAAACAGG